GGGUAUUUACGUUAAAAACAUGUUAUUCUGUUAACUGUAGAUAGAGGUAAAACACAAAAUAAGAGUUGAUUGUAAUAUAAACUGUUUCCAAAGUAUUAUUGUAAGCAAUGGCUCCCAGACAGGACCUGAUAAUCCCAGUGGAGCCGACGCGAGCCCCACAGAUCAGGGCUCCGCCCCCACCGCGGCCGGGCCGCCACCAGCGCCCCCCGCACGACAACCCCACCGUGUACAUAGACAGACCAGCACACAGAACCAACAAUAACCAAAGAGCUGCACAAAGAACUUAAAUCCUGAGAGAAUGUGGAAAAAUCGGAUUGGGAAUCUUACUAUCUGCUAGAGGAAUCUUGUUUGUUCUAAUUUCUGCGACCUGCAUACUUAGCAUGGUCACCAUAGAAAGGUUUACGGUAAAGUAGACAGAGUGAUUGAUUAACAAAGGAAAUUUGUCAGUUUGUCCGCAAAAACUGUCAGC